rnacentral:tRNA from 1 species
AGAGAAAUCUGCUAUCAUUAAGCGCUUAGGCCCAUACCCUAAAGAAGGAAAUACUCCUUUCU